GCCUCCUUAGUGCAGUAGGUAGCGCGUCAGUCUCGUAAUCUGAAGGUCCUGAGUUCGAGCCUCAGAGGGGGGGUCA
rnacentral:tRNA from 1 species